GACGAACGCUGGCGGCGUGCCUAAUACAUGCAAGUAGAACGCUGAAGCUUGGUGCUUGCACCGAGCGGAUGAGUUGCGAACGGGUGAGUAACGCGUAGGUAACCUGCCUGGUAGCGGGGGAUAACUAUUGGAAACGAUAGCUAAUACCGCAUAACAGUAGAUAUCGCAUGAUAGAUACUUGAAAGGUGCAAUUGCACCACUAUCAGAUGGACCUGCGUUGUAUUAGCUAGUUUGUGAGGUAAAGGCUCACCAAGGCAACGAUACAUAGCCGACCUGAGAGGGUGAUCGGCCCAACUGGGACUGAGACACGGCCCAGACUCCUACGGGAGGCAGCAGUAGGGGAUCUUCGGCCAUGGACGGAAGUCUGAACGAGCAACGCCGCGGGAGUGAAGAAGGUUUUCGGAUCGUAAAGCUCUGUUGUAAGGGAAGAACGAGUGUGAGAGUGGAAAGUUCACACUGUGACGGUAUCUUACCAGAAAGGGACGGCUAACUACGUG
rnacentral:rRNA from 1 species